AACGAACGCUGGCGGCAGGCUUAACACAUGCAAGUCGAGCGCCUCGCAAGAGGAGCGGCAGACGGGUGAGUAACGCGUGGGAAUCUACCCAUCUCUACGGAACAACUCCGGGAAACUGGAGCUAAUACCGUAUACGUCCUUCGGGAGAAAGAUUUAUCGGAGAUGGAUAAGCCCGCGUUGGAUUAGCUAGUUAGUGGGGUAAUGGCCUACCAAGGCGACGAUCCAUAGCUGGUCUGAGAGGAUGAUCAGCCACAUUGGGACUGAGACACGGCCCAAACUCCUACGGGAGGCAGCAGUGGGGAAUAUUGGACAAUGGGCGAAAGCCUGAUCCAGCCAUGCCGCGUGAGUGAUGAAGGCCCUAGGGUUGUAAAGCUCUUUCAACGGUGAAGAUAAUGACGGUAACCGUAGAAGAAGCCCCGGCUAACUUCGUGCCAGCAGCCGCGGUAAUACGAAGGGGGCUAGCGUUGUUCGGAAUUACUGGGCGUAAAGCGCACGUAGGCGGAUAUUUAAGUCAGGGGUGAAAUCCCGGGGCUCAACCCCGGAACUGCCUUUGAUACUGGGUAUCUCGAGUCCGAGAGAGGUGAGUGGAAUUCCGAGUGUAGAGGUGAAAUUCGUAGAUAUUCGGAGGAACACCAGUGGCGAAGGCGGCUCACUGGCUCGGUACUGACGCUGAGGUGCGAAAGCGUGGGGAGCAAACAGG
rnacentral:rRNA from 1 species